rnacentral:misc_RNA from 1 species
AAGUCGUAACAAGGUUUCCGUAGGUGAACCUGCGGAAGGAUCAUUGCUAAACGAAUCCCUUGCGGAUUCAACGAUCCAUAUAAAACCCACUUGUGCACUGUUGUAGUGAUUGUCACUCUUUUGGGCGGACAAGGUUUAACCUCAUUGGGUUAAGGAAUGGGAGAACACUUCAGUUUGAAGAUCUCCAAUUUUCCCCGCUCCCAAUGUUUGGACCCCGCCCAGAGGUGACUUUAGUCAAACUCUUGUUUUUAAAUCAAUGUCUGAAGUUAUCUGGUCUUCUGAUCAGAGUUUGUUUAACAAAAUACAACUUUCAACAAUGGAUCUCUUGGCUCUC